rnacentral:rRNA from 1 species
GUGAACGAUGAAGGCCUUCGGGUCGUAAAGUUCUGUUGUUAGGGAAGAACAAGUACCAGAGUAACUGCUGGUACCUUGACGGUACCUAACCAGAAAGCCACGGCUAACUACGUGCCAGCAGCCGCGGUAAUACGUAGGUGGCAAGCGUUGUCCGGAAUUAUUGGGCGUAAAGCGCGCGCAGGCGGUUUCUUAAGUCUGAUGUGAAAGCCCACGGCUCAACCGUGGAGGGUCAUUGGAAACUGGGGAACUUGAGUGCAGAAGAGGAGAGUGGAAUUCCACGUGUAGCGGUGAAAUGCGUAGAGAUGUGGAGGAACACCAGUGGCGAAGGCGACUCUCUGGUCUGUAACUGACGCUGAGGCGCGAAAGCGUGGGGAGCGAACAGGAUUA